GAUGAACGCUGGCGGCGUGCCUAAUACAUGCAAGUCGAGCGAACAGACGAGGAGCUUGCUCCUCUGACGUUAGCGGCGGACGGGUGAGUAACACGUGGAUAACCUACCUAUAAGACUGGGAUAACUUCGGGAAACCGGAGCUAAUACCGGAUAAUAUAUUGAACCGCAUGGUUCAAUAGUGAAAGACGGUUUUGCUGUCACUUAUAGAUGGAUCCGCGCCGCAUUAGCUAGUUGGUAAGGUAACGGCUUACCAAGGCGACGAUGCGUAGCCGACCUGAGAGGGUGAUCGGCCACACGGGAACUGAGACACGGUCCAGACUCCUACGGGAGGCAGAAGUAGGGAAUCUCCCGCAAUGGGCGAAAGCCUGACGGAGCAACGCCGCGUGAGUGAUGAAGGUCUUCGGAUCGUAAAACUCUGUUAUUAGGGAAGAACAAAUGUGUAAGUAACUAUGCACGUAUUGACGGUACCUAAUCAGAAAGCCACGGCUAACUACGUG
rnacentral:rRNA from 1 species